AGAGUUUGAUUCUGGCUCAGGACGAACGCUGGCGGCGCGCCUAACACAUGCAAGUCGAACGAGAGAUGAGGAGCUUGCUCUUCAAAUCGAGUGGCGAACGGGUGAGUAACGCGUGAGGAACCUGCCUCAAAGAGGGGGACAACAGUUGGAAACGACUGCUAAUACCGCAUAAGCCCACGGCCCGGCAUCGAGCAGAGGGAAAAGGAGCAAUCCGCUUUGAGAUGGCCUCGCGUCCGAUUAGCUAGUUGGUGAGGUAACGGCCCACCAAGGCGACGAUCGGUAGCCGGACUGAGAGGUUGAACGGCCACAUUGGGACUGAGACACGGCCCAGACUCCUACGGGAGGCAGCAGUGGGGAAUAUUGCACAAUGGGGGAAACCCUGAUGCAGCGACGCCGCGUGGAGGAAGAAGGUCUUCGGAUUGUAAACUCCUGUUGUUGAGGAAGAUAAUGACGGUACUCAACAAGGAAGUGACGGCUAACUACGUGCCAGCAGCCGCGGUAAAACGUAGGUCACAAGCGUUGUCCGGAAUUACUGGGUGUAAAGGGAGCGCAGGCGGGAGAACAAGUUGGAAGUGAAAUCCAUGGGCUCAACCCAUGAACUGCUUUCAAAACUGUUUUUCUUGAGUAGUGCAGAGGUAGGCGGAAUUCCCGGUGUAGCGGUGGAAUGCGUAGAUAUCGGGAGGAACACCAGUGGCGAAGGCGGCCUACUGGGCACCAACUGACGCUGAGGCUCGAAAGUGUGGGUAGCAAACAGGAUUAGAUACCCUGGUAGUCCACACCGUAAACGAUGAUAAAUGGGUGUUGGAGGAUUGACCCCUUCAGUGCCGCAGUUACCACAAUAAGUAAUCCACCUGGGGAGUACGACCGCAAGGUUGAAACUCAAAAGGAAUUGACGGGGGCCCGCACAAGCAGUGGAGUAUGUGGUUUAAUUCGACGCAACGCGAAGAACCUUACCAAGUCUUGACAUCCUGCGACGCACAUAGAAAUAUGUGUUUCCUUCGGGACGCAGAGACAGGUGGUGCAUGGUUGUCGUCAGCUCGUGCCGUGAGAUGUUGGGUUAAGUCCCGCAACGAGCGCAACCCUUAUGGUCAGUUACUACGCAAGAGGACUCUGGCCAGACUGCCGUUGACAAAACGGAGGAAGGUGGGGAGGACGUCAAAUCAUCAUGCCCUUUAUGACUUGGGCUACACACGUACUACAAUGGCGUUAAACAAAGAGAAGCAAGACCGCGAGGUGGAGCAAAACUCAGAAACAACGUCCCAGUUCGGACUGCAGGCUGCAACUCGCCUGCACGAAGUCGGAAUUGCUAGUAAUCGUGGAUCAGCAUGCCACGGUGAAUA
rnacentral:rRNA from 1 species